rnacentral:tRNA from 1 species
GUAUACGCUUAGUCGCUUGACCAUAUAACCCCAAGUCGCCUCGGGGCCAUAUACAUCCAGCCACUUCGUUUCGCCUUAACACUUAUCUCGGUUCGGUUUGAACCAGGACGCUUGUCACUCGUUUACAUGUUUUCAAAGAACACCACACCGGCCUCAAUGCCGGAUGGCUUCAAAUUCAAUCUUUGUGUGCGUACACAUCCAUUUAAACCGAAACUGGUGGAGCCUGUCGGGAUCGAACCGACGACCCUCUGCUUGCAAAGCAGAUGCUCUCCCAGCUGAGCUAAGGCCCCAUAAGUGAUCUCAAGUGGUGGGUCUGGGUGGACUCGAACCACCGACCUCACCCUUAUCAGGGGUGCGCUCUAACCACCUGAGCUACAGACCCAUAAGGCUUGGCUUACGGCUUGCGCCCCCAAUGGGACGCGUGGAUGUGCAGGUGACUUGUGUGGAAGCCUUGCGAUGAAACGAGCGUCGUUUCUCGAAAGGAGGUGAUCCAGCCGCACCUUCCGA